AAAAAGACAUUUCCUGGCCAAUUUUUUUGCUUGAAGAUGAUUGUCUGGUUAUACAAGACAUCAAUCUGAAGGUCAUCUGAGUAACUCUUAAUGGGCCAUCCCCUUCCUCCCUUGAUGUCAAGAGAGGAAGCACGUGUGCUACUGUGGUUGAACCUUGGAAGGGUCGGGCAAGCUGUCAGUCCUGUGCCGGCUGAGUUGCUGCUGUUGCUGAGACUGAUGUUGCUGGUGAUGUGACUGAGGGAAGGUGCUCUGUUGUAGAGGAAAUGCAGCAGAGAGAAUGAGUUGAGUUGAGGGAUUCCCAUGGAGCAACCUAGAAGUCUAAAAAACAAAUGGAUUAUGCAGCAUUGCUUUACUCCCUUUAUGGCACCCACAUAAUAGUUACUCACACUCUCCCCUGUCCAUAGGGACAAAAUCCUUAAAAUUCUACAUAAUGCAUAUCACUUUCACUCUCUGGUUUAAAAAUUCUAAUUUGGAAAAUGCUUAUGAGGCCUUCCCUCUUUCUGAAAGUAUGAGAGAGUUUCAUUUUUUAAAGGAAUCUGAGCUACAGAUUUUAUGGUAUAGAAAGCAAUCUAUAUCUUGAGCCAAAUCACACACGUUCUUUCACUUUAUGUCCUAAAGACCCAUAUUUUAAAUUACAAAAUUUGAGCAUAGUUAUGACUAUAUGAAAAACAAAUACUCUGAGGCCAGACAGACAAUGCCUUCUGCACACAGGUUCGCUCAGCUGGUUAGAGCGGCACAGUUAAGUGGCCAGGAGCGUGGUGGGCCCUGAGGUAGACUGAAUGGUUCAAACUUGGGCUGCCCUACUUACCACAUGUGUGACUUGGUCAAGCUGUUUACUUCUCUGGGCCUCAGUUUCUUUCUUUAGAAAAUAGGAAUAACAGUGCCUACCACAUUGGGUUCUUAAUAAAGAUUAAAUAUUAAUAUUAUUUAAAAGCAUCAUAAAUAUGAAGGCAAAGUUGCAGCCUUAGGUCCGAUAAGCAGCAGUGUGGUAUAAAGACAGACAAACAAAACAAAAUGAAAAAAGGCACAGGAUUUGCAGACAGAAGCCCUGCAUUUGAGUUUUGCUCUGCCAUUUACAUAAGUAAGCUGUGUGACUCUGGGCAAGACUCAAAUAGAUGAGCCUCUGUUCCUUUCACCAAAUUUGUACUUCUGACAUGCUGUUCAUUAAUGUAAAACUCUCAGAUACAAAAAAAUGUUAACAGAAAGAAAGUGAAUUUUUACAAUGAAAGUCCUUUCCCCAUUACUGACAGUACAACUUGAUGCAGGGUUCUUAAUUUCAAAAUGGAGCUGUGGUGGGCAAUUUUUGCAAAUGUAUAUGAAAGAAACAUGCACAAACACACACACAAAAGAGCAAAUCCCUGACAAACCUUAAAGACUACUACACUUUGUCAAGGAUCUUCAGAGUUUUCUUUCUCUCUUUGUUAUUAGGAAAAGCUGUGUAAGGCAAAGACUUGAUACUUAUGAGCCUUAUAAGAUUACAACAGGAGCAUGUUUUAAAACUAGGUAUUACAUAAUUUAGAAAAGCCAAAUUGUGUAUUUAUUACCUACAUACAAGUGUAUUUAUGAGGGGUAUUGCCUAUCUUAUUUCUUUGUGGGUCCUAUGUCUUUGGGAUGCCUUUUUUUUUUUUUUUUUUUUGAGAAUGUUUAUUCUUUUAAGGGCCUUUGUUCCUUGACAUACUUAGAAGACUGAGAUGUUAAGGCAGGUCCUCUCCUUUUUUUAGCUUAUGCUUAAUUCUCAUUGGAUACAUUUUCCCUACAUAAUAAUUUAGAACUUGUUUUAAAUUGUUGUUAUUUCUUUAUUUGUAAUAGUAGCUACCCCAGUUAUGUCUGCAGCAUAGGCUUAAGGUCUAAAAGACUGUAUGACUCUCAGAUAUUUAGGCAACUAGCCUGUUUUAGUUUUCUACAUCACAAAGACAAGGAUUAUAUUUGGACCAGGACACAAAGGGUGACAAAUUAAGACUAUAUUUAUGCCUGAAUAUAGAGUACAAUAAUCACAUCACAUGUUAUAUAACCCAGAAAUUGAUGAUAAGUGCCCAGCCUAGAUGAAGUGGUCUCUAGUACACAUACAGACUAGCCUACAUUCAAAAUUGCUCCAGCUAGGCCAGAAGGGGAAAAGGUAGAUUUCUAGUGAGGAUCCUGAGGUCCAGAUAAGGGUUUUGUACAUUUCUCUGCUGAGGAUCUUGCCUAGUGACUUUCUUCUGUAUCCUAUAGAUAAGGAGAGCCUGUCUGAUUCACUAAAUGAUAUCUGUGUCUAUAUUUUGGCUAAUCCAAGUGUCUAUUACAUUUGUCAAUAUAGCGGUCACAAAUAACAGCUAGCCAUGUGCCUUGUCUUAUAUUCAGUGAUUUACAAGCACUAUUAAUCCAUGAGGUAUCAAUUAUUAUGACCUCCACUUUACACGUGACGUUUACCAAGAGUAAGCAACCUGCCAAAGGUCACGCAGUACGUGGUGCAGCAGUGACUCAACCCCAAGGCAGCUAGACUUUACAGCCCAAGUUCUUAGCUAUACAUAUACUUAGCUCAUAGAUAUACUACACCUCCAUGGUAUUUCUCCUCUGAUAUUAAUUUACAACUGAAAAAUUAUAAUAAGAUUGAAUUCAACAAAAUAAUUUAAGGUAACACCUAUACUAGUAAAAAGAAAUCCCUGCUCUGUACAGAGCAGAGUUUAUGGUUGGCUAGAAAAAGGAGGAAAGAGGUGCUUGCUUAAGUUCCAGAAACUCUAGCCAGAGACUAAGAAAACAGGUGGGCAGGAAGUAGGCCACUCACUCUGUCCAGCAGUUCUGAUAACUGGGUAUGCCCAAUGGCACGUCUAAAGUCUUCCAACGACUGAGCAAGGGAAGAAAAAAAAUCGCCAACCAGAACAAGCUUUCUAUCUUUGUAGAGAUUUAAACUGUACAAUAAGCUUUUGUGAAUUUUUCACAUCACUCACAAAUCUGUUCACUUAAUGCUUAAUUUCAUUACAUGAAAGUAAAUGAGUUUGAAGCAGCUUCCCCAUGGGGAGAAUUACCUGUAAAAAUUGUUGCGGUGGCUGGGUCAGCUGAGCCUGAGAUGGUUGCUGAACUGAAGUGAGCUGCUGCUCCUGGGAGCUCUGCUGCUGCUGCUGCUGCGUUACUGACAAUGUCUGUGACUGUUGCUGUUGUGUAGCAAAAGUAGGAUAUGCAGUCACCACCUGGCCCAUAAGCAUAGUACUAGGUACCAUGACUGCCCCACAAGCUACAGGAGCAGUCACUAAUUUGGUCACAAGUUGUUGACCUUGAGAAAAUCUGUUAGAAGAAAGAAGGAAAAAAAUUGGAGUCCAAAGUACAAGGUAUACAUCAUAAAACGCAGUGGAGUAAAUACUUACCUAAGAUAAUACCCAAUGACAUUGCCAGUUUGUUUUUCAAGGUCUGUAUAUUCCUACUUUGUUUCAUUUUAAAAGAUUCCCUUUGGUGUAACAGUAAAACAAAAAAUUCAUACAGCAAGAUCAAUGUGUAACAAAAAUACAAAACGUCUUUGGAUAUCCACAUUCAAAAGAAUAAAGUUAGAUCCUUACCUCACAUCACAGACAAAGAUUAACUUGAAAUGGACCAAAGACCAAAACAUAAGAGCUAAUGCUAUAAAACUCUUAGAAGAAAACAUAGGGGAAAAGCUUCAUGACAUUGGAUUUAGCAAUAGUUAGCAGCUGGAAUUAGCAAUAAUUUCUUGGAUAUGAUACCAAAAGUACAGGCAACAAAAGAACAGAUAAACAGAUAAACUGGACUGUAUCAAAUUAAAAAUCUUGUGAAUCAAAGGGCACUAUCAACAGAGUAAAAAGGUAACUGUCCCAUCCCACAGAUGGGAGAAAAUAUCUGCAUAUCAUCCUUCUGAUAAGGGAUUAGUAACCAGAAUGUCUAAGAGCUCCUUCAACUCAACAACAAUCAACCCAAUUAAAAAAAUGGGCAAAGGUCAAACUUGAACAAACACUUCUCCAAAGAAGAUACACAAAUGGCUAAUAAGCACAUGAAAAGGUGCUCCACAUCACUAAUCAUUAGGGAAAUACAAAUCAAAACCACAACAAGAGGCUACUUUAUACCCAUCAGGAUGGCUAUUAUAAAAAACAAACAACAAUAGAAAAUGACCAGUGUUGGCAAGCAAGUAGAGAAACCUUGUGCAGUGCUGGUGGGAAUGUAAAAAUGGUGCAGCCACUAUGGAAAACAGUAUGCAGUUCCUCAAAAAAUUCACUAUAGGAUUACUAUAUGAAGGAAUUCCACUUCUGCUUAUAUAACCCCCCAAAAUGAAAGCAGGGACUCAAAGAGAUAUUUGUACACCCAUAAUCAUAAGCAGCAUUAUUCACAGGAGCCAAAAAGUGGAAGUAACCCAAGACUCCAUUGACAGACGGAAUGAAUAAGCAAAACAUAGUAGAGUAGAAUAUUACUUAGCCUUAAAAAGGAAAGAAAUUCUGACAAUUGCUGUAACAUGGAUGAACCCUGAGAACAUUAUCCUAAGUAAAAUAAGCCAUUCACAAAAGGACAAAUACUGUAUGAUUCCAUUUAUAUGAGGUACUUAGACUAGUCCAAUUUACAGGGACAGAAAGUAGAAUGGUGGUUGGGGAGAGAAGAAUGGGGACUUGUAUAAUGGGUAUGGAGUUUCUGUUUGGGAAGAUGAAAAAAGUUCUGGAAAUGGUUAGGGGAGAUGGUAACAAUCGUACUCAGUGACAAUGAACUGUAUAUUUUAAAACGGUUAACAUGGUAACUUUUAUGUCAUUUGUAUUUUUCCACAAUAAAAAUUUUUUUUAAUCUAUAAAAAAAAACCUUUUUCUUUUUAUAAAAUUACUAGGUACUAGGGGUGUCAGAUAUAUGUGGCACAUGAUUCAUCUGCUACACUGGCACACAGUUCAUGAAUAAACAAAGCUAUUAUAAUGUAUUUUUUAAACUCUAGGUUUAUAGAAGAAAUUUACACAAAAUUGUAGCUUACAAAUUUAAUUCAAAACCAAAUGACAUUCUAACAGUGAAUAAAAACUCCUCUCAAUUUAUAAAUUCAUCAACGCAGCAUAGCGUCCUCUGUGCUAGAAUUCAUUAAUUUUUCCCUCUUUCCCUGCUUCCUUUUGCUUUUUGAAAUGAAAGAACAAUAACCCCAAAAAAAUGAUGCUUCUUUGUGGAACAAUAUUAUUUCCAUUUGCCUUUUCUGUGAGAUGAAGUUUAUAACAUUGGUCAUUACAGUGAGAUAUGACACUAACAUAGAUGUGGCAUGACAUAACUGUAUUUACAAACUGUUUAUGUAACAAUAUUACACUUAGUACAGAUCUUGACAAUAAAAUACUCUAUUUUAUACACUACACAACCAAAUACUUUAAUGCAAAACAAAAAAGAAUUAAAAUUGUCCAUAUUAAGAAAGUCCAAAGAAAUAAGUAAUAUUUACAAAGUACACUUAGUCACAGAAGUACUAAGUGCUGAUUUCUCCAUAAUCUUAAAUUAAUACCUGAAUUAGCCCAUGGCUCACUGGUAAAUGUGAUAAGAAUAUUUUCUUUAAUCUGCUUUCGUGUAACUCACACUUCUGCAGCUUUGUAUACUCUGGGCUCCCUCUGCCCAGAAUGCCUCCCUAGACUCCAUGCCACACCCACAUCCAAAGCCAAGCUCAAGUCUUGAAGAGUCAGGGCAAGUAUCUCUGCCUUGGUGAAGCUUUCCUGACCACACCUUUAUUCACCUGCUUGCCUCAACCCAUGAAACUGCUUACAAAAACAAAACAAAACAAAACACAACACAACAAAAAACUGCUCACUUCCUCCUUUCUAAAGACCUCUGAAGUAUUCAUCACCCCAAACAAUACCGAUUUAUCUUUCUAUUGCUUUUACUAGUUUGGUCUUUCCCUUGGGGAAGGAACGAUGCCAUACUCAUCUAGGUAGGCCUUCAAAUGUUUGCUAAGAUGUGGUUUCUGUCCCCCUCAAAAGAUAGAUGUUCAGGGAAACUCAACUUAAAACCACAAUUAAAUAUCACCUUACCCAGCCAGACUGGCCAUUACUAAAAAGUCAAAAAACAAUAAUGUUGGCACAGAUGUGGUGAAAACACUUACACACUGCUGGUGGGAACGUGAGAUUUCUCAAAGAACUAAAAGUAGAUCUACCAUUUGAUCCAGCAAUCCCACUACUGGGUAUCUACCCAAAGGAAAAGAAGUCACUGUAUCAAAAAGACACCUGCAUACAUAUGGCUAUCGCAGUACAGUUCACAAUUCCAAAGAUAUGGAAUCAACCUAAGUGCCCAUCAACCAAUGAGUGGAGAAAGAAAAUGUGGUAUGUAUACACCAUGGCCUACUACUCAGCCAUAAAAAAAGAAAAAAUAAUGCAUUUUGCAGCAACUUGGAUGGAGCUGGAGGCCAUUAUUCUAAGUGAAGUAACUCAGGAAUGGAAAACCAAACACCAUAUAUUCUCACUUGUAAGUGGGAGCUAAGCUAUGGGUACAGCAAAGGCAUACAGAGUGAUAUAAUAGACUUUGGAGGAGGAUGGUGGGGGUGAGGGAUAAAAAACUACAUAUUGGAUAGAAUGUGCACUACUCAGGUGAUCAGUGCACUAAAAUAAGUUAUAGAUGGUUGUUUUUCCAGAGCAGUCCACAAAACCUUCCUGUAAUAUAUGCUUAAGCACUCAAGCACUGAAAUGAAGACACCAAGGUCUGUGUUCAGAGUUCCCUUCCUCAUCACCUUAACUAGCUAUAGAUCCCUUGGCUAAUUACUGAAAACUCACUUUUUUCUUAUCUGGGAAAUAAAAGGAGGCCCUCACAUACAUUUUCUUUUAAUAAAUGACUAUUUGAGAUAAUAUAUUUUGAGCAUUUAACAAACUUAAAAAAGGUAAGCUACCCUAACCACUGUUACUACAUGGAAAUUCUCUAGCAUCUAUAUUGAAAAGACAAAAGCUUCACAGUGACACAGAGCCUGUCAUAAACCUUUUCUAACAGUGUGCUGCAGAAUUUGUAUUCUAUAAUAUUUUGUAGCAUAUUUUUGGACAAGAAAAAAAAUUUGUUGUUACCCUUUAAUUAUGAAGUCUUUAAACAAUGAAUACAUUCAGUGUUUUUAUUUCAAAUUUAAGAACAUUGGCUGCAGUGAGCAUCUCAUUAAAAUCACAUUAAAAAAUUUGAUUAAGAAAUCAAAUUAUUGUUUUCUAAUCAAUCGGUUUACAAUUUUAAAAAUAACAAAUGAAAUAUGACAACUACCUUAUCUGCCUGUCCUGAGUGAAUGUAGUUACUGCAGCACUCUGGGUGCUGUUUUGUGGCAUACUAGAUGGAAUCUGGACCAUGCUUCCGGCUGCAGGCUGAGAAAUCACCAUAGUGUUAUACAGUGGGGCUGUAAGAGUGCUCUGUGUCUGACUGGGUAGAGAUGUUUGCUGACUGUGCCCACUCAGUACAUUUUGUUGACUCUGUUAAAAAUAAAGAGAUUUUAUAGACAGAUUAACUGAAAAUAAUUAUUUGGGAAGUAUGCUAGAAUUCAUCAUUCUAACAAUAUGACAAUAUGACAGAGAAAGAAGUGGCAGGAUAUAUUACUCUGGGGGAAAUAUAACCACAAAGGAAUGACUCGUGGUAACUGAGAAUGAAUUAGUCUUGAAUAUCUUGCUGGAAGGCAAGCUAUGACUUUAGAAAGGAGUGUGAUUGUAAUAGAGAUGAUAUAAAAUAUACUCAAAGAAUUUCUGUUAAAUGCCCAAAGUGAAUGACUAAUUAGUGGGCAUUUUUCUAUUUUUCAUUUAAAUCCUUGGGAUUUACAGUCACAGAUCUACAGUAAUUACCAACAUUUUCUGGAAUAUUCAAUAAACCAUUAUGCCCCCUCCCCCAACAGUCUAUUCUGCACAUAUGGGAACAGGCUUCCUGGUCAGCCUCUUGAGCAAGUCAUACCUUUUAAACACAGAAAUAGUCUAAGUUACAAGAACUUGGUAUAACUACUAGACUACAUCUUUAAACAGAUUGUGACAUAUUUUAAAGCUCAGCCAGGCGCAGUGGCUCACACCUGUAAUCCCAGCACUUUGGGAGGCUGAGGUGGGCGAUCACCUGAGGUCAGGAGUUUGAGAUCAGCCAGGCCAACAUGGUGAAACCCCAUCUCUACUAAAAAUAUGAAAAUCAGCCUGGCAUGGUGGUGGGUGCCUAUAAUCCCAGCUACUCGGGAGGUUGGGGCAGGAGAAUCGCUUCAACCCAGGAGGCGGAGGUUGCAGUAAUCUAAGGUCACGCCAUUGCACUCCAGCCUGGGCAACAGGAGCAAAACUCCGUCUCAAAAAAAAAAAAAGAAAAAAAAAAGCUGAAAAUAUUUGAUACUAACAUGAUUUGCACAAAAUAUUUUAAUAAUCACUCUCAAUACUAUACUUUCUAAAUACUAUUAAAUUUUGAAAUGAUAUUUUAUCAUUAGAGCUUUAUUUCUGCUUCAGCAAUAGUGUGCCUUCCAACCACUGAUCACUCCAUAGCCCGCUGUGCUCAGUAACAUUACCUGAGUUGAUGUACUCUGUAAAGUCUGUUGUUGUAUCAUGUGCUGAGUUGUGCCAAUGUGUCCAGUAUUCAUUCCACUUUGAAUCUGGUUAGUAGGAACAACUUGGCCUUGCAUAUUUAUAGGUGCAAGUUGCUGGAUAUUAGAUGAAUUUCCAGAAGAAAGUUGAACGGAACCAAAAUUCAACCCAGGAUUUGAUUGUUGCAAAAACAUCUUUAAAAAUAAAGAUUAUGUUAAAAUGAGCUUUGUAGAUUGAAAAGAAGAAUGAGCAUUAAAAAGAAGGCAAAAUCAAGCUACAAAGUAUGUUUAAAAAGCAAGUAACAAGGCUAAGUCACUUUGAAGAAUUAGCAAUAAAUAAGUAGUGAAUAAAAUAUGAAACUUUAUAUUCAAUCUUUCAGUUAUCUUGUUUCCAAUUGUUAGAAAAAGUGUAACUAGUGUUAGUCUGUGGAUUGACAGCUCUGUAUCACUUAUCAUUUAUAAUUUAUAACAUCACACAGAAGUAGUUUUCACUCCAAGUUUCCCUUUACCAAAGUCAUAGUCUCCUAGAGUGGUCCUGCUGGUUGGUCAUAUAAGACUAAUUUGAAUCAUACAUACUGGUAUCUUAAUAAAAAUAUUACUGAUGAUUGAUUUAUAAAUUCUGUACCCAAGAUGUACCUAAAACUUUAUGUAAAAUAUAAUUUUUAUAUUAUGGAUUCAAACUUACUAAAAUUUGGACUGGUAAAAAAAGAUGACUGGAGAAACAAGGAUGUUGACAGAAAUACCCUCAGAAACAAAUUAUCUUUAGAGACUGUAAGUAUAAUCAUACUGAGUAGGUAACCAGUGAAUAUUUAUUGAACUGAAUUGAUAAAACGUAUCUCUUGCAUCUCACUUUUAAUUAAGAAAAGUUAAUUUUCCUAGAAAUCCAAAAUGUGAAUGGGAUGCUUUGUUUGUAUUCAAAUAUAACAAUUACCUGCAGCCCCUGACCAUGGACCAUCUGAAGUUGUUCUUGAAUUUUUCUUAGUUCUUCUUGUUGCCGAUGAAUAUUUGCUUCUAUCAUGCGUGUCCGUUGUUCCAAUUGGUCUUUCAGAUGUUGCAUGGCUCCUAAUUGAGCUGAAAACUGAAACUGAAGUACCAUGUACGGAAAAAGUGUAAUAUAUUUUAGAAUUACUUACUCCUUAUAAUUGCACAACAUGAAAAGUAAGCAGUAUAACAUGAGUGAAGGAUGAUAACAUCCUUCACUAGUUAUGUCCCUUAGUUUCUAAUCCACCCAUCUUUGCUCUGCUUUGUAAUAUUGGACCUGGACCUUCAAAAUAUUUCUCCUUUGCCAGCAGGCACAAAGUUAUCCACAUCAGUAGGUGGUGCUGGAGGGACACUGCCAAGAAAGUGCUCAACUCCUGGUUCUGGUGCUUCUUGCUCUUAUGUCAGGGUGCCAACGGGAAGCUUUUAAUAUUUUCUCAACCACGUUUAACAUAUGAUAUGGUCUGGUUAUUGUUAAUUUCUGAAAUCAAAGUUGUGUGCCCUGAAAUGUAAUUUAGUAUCCCAAAUACAAACUAUUGAAGAUAGAGUUAAAAAGCUUUGGAUGGGAAGGACAUUUCUCACUUUUACAUACACCUGCCCCGGCAGGUGGCUUUCCAGCAAGUCUCAAUGACAUCCUAGUGGGCAGCUUCCCUGCAAGCUUUACCAGUACCCCAGCUGAUGGCUUCCAGCUCUCUACCUCUAAUCUGUGGCAUGUCAGUGAACUUCUCUAUUAUCCAGUUGCUAUAGCCACAUUUGCCCCAAGAAGAUCUGCAUCUUAGCCUGGCAUGGGGGAAGAGGAGGUUAGGAGCUUGUGGGGAGUCUUCUAAGUAUGUUCCUUCCUUGGGUACUCUCCAUCUACCUUACAGCUAGUGGUUGCUCUCUGCAUCUGCUAUUUCUAUAUUCUUUUUUUUUUUUUUUUUUUUUUUUUUGAGACAGGAUCUCACUCUGUCACCCAGGCUGGAAAGCAGUGGUGCGAUCAUGGCUCUCUACAGCCUUAACUUUCUGGGUUCAAGAGCUCCUCCCAUCUCAGCCUCCCCAGUGGCUGGGACUACAGGCAUGCACCACCACACCUGGCUAACAUAAAAAUGUAUUUUCUUGUAAAAAUAGGGUCUUGCUAUGUUGCCCAUGCUGGUCUUGAACUCAUUGGCUCAAGAAGUCCUCCUACUUCGGCCUUCCAAAGUGCUAAGAAUACAGGCAUGAGCCACCACACCCAGCUUUAUUCCUAUAUUCUUUAGGUUCUCUUUACUUCUUUUAGGAGUUAAUCCGUGUUACCAGUUAAUAAUUUUUUAUAUUAUUCCUGUUCAAAUUUCUGGUAUGCUUCUGGCUUCUGACUGGAUACUUGACUGAUUACACAUACACCCUGGAUUUACAAGACCUGAGCUCAUAUUGUGGCUACCACUUACUGGAAAAAAAUUUAACUUCUUUUUUUUUUUUUUUUUUUUGAGACAGAGUCACCCAAGCUGGAAUGCAGUGGUGUGAUCACAGCUUAUUGCAGCCUCAACCACCCAGGCUCAAGCAAUCCUCCCACUUCAGCCUCUCAAGUGGCUGGGACUACAGGCAUAUGCCACCAUGCCCGGCUAAUGUUUUUUUUAAGAGAUGGGGUCUCACUAUGUUGCCUAGUCUGUUGUAGAACUCCUGAGCUCAGGCAAUCCUCCCACAAGCCACCAUGCCCAGCCUUAUUUAACUUCUUAGCUUCAUUUUUACCCCUUAACAAAGGAAAAAGUAGUCUGCACCUGGAGUUAAUUUGUAUCAAUUUCUGUCAUCCCUAGAAUGCCCUCUAUGUGUACAUGAGUAGAAUUACCCAAAGUUGCAAAAAUCUGACAGAUAACCAAUAAUAUUUUCACUUUUAUCUUCAAUGGAAACUAUCCUCAGAUAAGUAUAGAACAUGGGCUUUUAAAGACUAGGCAAGUAUGAAUGAAUAAACGCAUACAUGAAUGAAAA
rnacentral:lncRNA from 1 species